rnacentral:rRNA from 1 species
UUGACCUCGGAUCAGGUAGGGAUACCCGCUGAACUUAAGCAUAUCAAUAAGCGGAGGAAAAGAAACCAACAGGGAUUGCCUCAGUAACGGCGAGUGAAGCGGCAACAGCUCAAAUUUGAAAUCUGGCCCCCCUCGGGGGUCCGAGUUGUAAUUUGUAGAGGAUGUUUCGGGCAAGGCGGCGGUCUAAUUCGCUAGGAACAGCGGGUCAGAGAGGGUGAGAACCCCGUCUAGGACCGCACGCCGCGUCCAUGUGAAGCUCCUUCGACGAGUCGAGUUGUUUGGGAAUGCAGCUCUAAAUGGGUGGUAAAUUUCAUCUAAAGCUAAAUAUUGGCCAGAGACCGAUAGCGCACAAGUAGAGUGAUCGAAAGAUGAAAAGCACUUUGAAAAGAGAGUUAAACAGUAUGUGAAAUUGUUGAAAGGGAAGCGCUUGCAAUCAGACUUGUGGCCGACGGUUCCCCCGGCCCUCGUGGCCGGGCUACUCCGUCGUGUCCAGGCCAACAUCGGUCUGGGUGGCCGGUCAAAGACCCCGGGAAUGUAUCAACCUCCGGGUCGACUUAUAGCCCGGGGUGGAAUGCGGCCCACCCGGACCGAGGAACGCGCUUCGGCUCGGAUGUUGGCGUAAUGGUUGCAAGCGGCCCGUCUUGAAACACGGACCAAGGAGUCUAACAUCUAUGCGAGUGUUUGGGUGUCAAACCCCUACGCGGAAUGAAAGUGAACGGAGGUAAGAACCCGCAAGGGCGCAUUAUCGACCGAUCCUGAUGUCUUCGGAUGGAUUUGAGUAAGAGCAUAGCUGUUGGGACCCGAAAGAUGGUGAACUAUGCCUGAAUAGGGUGAAGCCAGAGGAAACUCUGGUGGAGGCUCGCAGCGGUUCUGACGUGCAAAUCGAUCGUCAAAUUUGGGCAUAGGGGCGAAAGUAAGCAUCUCUUUUUUCUUCUCCCCUGUAUUGAUAAAUAAUCACGGAAGCUAACGGCUUCUUCUCUAGGACUAAUCGAACCAUCUGGUAGCUGGUUCCUGUCGAAGUUUCCCUCAGGAUAGCAGUAACGUUUUCAGUUUUAUGAGGUAAAGCGAAUGAUUAGAGGCCUUGGGGUUGCAACAACCUUAACCUAUUCUCAAACUUUAAAUAUGUAAGAAGUCCUUGUUUCUUAACUGAACGUGGACAUUUGAAUGUAUCGUUACUAGUGGGCCAUUUUUGGUAAGCAGAACUGGCGAUGCGGGAUGAACCGAACGUGAGGUUAAGGUGCCGGAAUGCACGCUCAUCAGACACCACAAAAGGUGUCAAUGCAUCCAGACAGCCGGACGGUGGCCAUGGAAGUCGGAAUCCGCUUAGGAGUGUGUAACAACUCACCGGCCGAAUGCAUUGGCCCUGAAAAUGGAUGGCGCUUAAGCGUGCUACCUAUACCUCGCCGUUGGGGUUGAAAUGAUGCCCCAACGAGUAGGCAGGCGUGGGGGUUUGUGACG